CUAACAGAAGGUCUUCCCUCACAGGGCUGGCGCUGUGAGAACUGUCGAAGGCCAGGCGUGACUGCGGGCGUGCUGCACCCCACAGGGACCAGCGACUUUACCCGUCACAAGGAGAUCCUGAACAAACUGAAUAUCCAGUGCCCCAUCGAGUGCCUUAACCCACAGCUUCUGGUAGACACAUACACCAGGGAGUAGCUCAGGAACACCCCCCCCCCCCCCCCCCCCCAGUUCCUAUAACACCUCCCACCCGAGACUGUGCCCCCCGUGUACUUGCUGGCCUCACUGCCGUCCUGCUGAUAGUCCCCCCCCCACUCCUUCCUCCAGCUACACCUCCAAACACCCCUUGCACAAAAACAGCUCUUUCAAUGUUUUUUUUCUUGUCCUUGUGUUGCUGCUUUAAAACACUUUAAAUAAAAAGAUGUAAGAACAGAACAGUCCCUGUAAAGCGCUUCCCAAGAUUAGUCGCCCGCCCCAAAGUCCGUGGGGUUUAGAGCUCGCAUCCCCUUCCCCCGCCAAGCAUCCAAGCAUCCAGAACUCAUCAGUCCAACCUUCCCUUAACUUAAGAAGUGGACUGGACAAAUAGGCCCUCCACACCUUCUCCCAUUGGAUUAAGCACAAACGUGGGCAAACCCCAGCCAACCACGUGCCUUGCAGUAUUUUCAAAUAUAGUGAAUGCUACUUUUAAAACUACCUGUCCAGUAUUAUUGACAAUAUUUUUGUACUUAAAAAGGAGGUUCAGAAAUUUAAGCACUGUUCAGCUGUGCAACCUGGCACAUCACAUGCACACAGCGGUUCAUUUCCUGUCCUGAAUGGUCUAGCAGUCUGCUGUCCUCAUAUCCGGGGGCAGCACUGUUUGUGACAGUUGACCCUUGCCGGUCCAUACGGAUUUGCGUUCAUCCUUCAAAUUGAUCUUUUUAACUCAUUUUAUUUAUCCCUUUUAUCCAAGCAAUUUUUUUGUGAAUGAAAAUUUCGGGGUGUAAACUUUUUGUUCUUAUUUUUAUAUUGUAAGCGUCAAAGUCUUUACUACUGUGGACAGAAAUUCCCUUUUUAAUAAAGCUUUCCAAAGAACCUCA